rnacentral:rRNA from 1 species
CCUACGGGUGGCUGCAGUCGAGAAUUUUUCACAAUGGGCGAAAGCCUGAUGGAGCGACGCCGCGUGGGGGAUGAAGGGCUUCGGCUCGUAAACCCCUGUCAUUUGCGAACAAAGGCGCCAACCUAACACGUUGUCGUCUGAUAGUAGCAGAAGAGGAAGGGACGGCUAACUCUGUGCCAGCAGCCGCGGUAAUACAGAGGUCCCAAGCGUUGUUCGGAUUCACUGGGCGUAAAGGGUGCGUAGGUGGUGAAUUAAGUCGGGUGUGAAAUCUCCGG